GAUGAACGCUGGCGGCGUGCUUAACACAUGCAAGUCGAACGGUGAACACGGAGCUUGCUCUGUGGGAUCAGUGGCGAACGGGUGAGUAACACGUGAGCAACCUGCCCCUGACUCUGGGAUAAGCGCUGGAAACGGCGUCUAAUACUGGAUAUGUGACGUGACCGCAUGGUCUGCGUUUGGAAAGAUUUUUCGGUUGGGGAUGGGCUCGCGGCCUAUCAGCUUGUUGGUGAGGUAAUGGCUCACCAAGGCGUCGACGGGUAGCCGGCCUGAGAGGGUGACCGGCCACACUGGGACUGAGACACGGCCCAGACUCCUACGGGAGGCAGCAGUGGGGAAUAUUGCACAAUGGGCGCAAGCCUGAUGCAGCAACGCCGCGUGAGGGAUGACGGCCUUCGGGUUGUAAACCUCUCUUAGCAGGGAAGAAGCGAAAGUGACGGUACCUGCAGAAAAAGCGCCGGCUAACUACGUG
rnacentral:rRNA from 1 species